rnacentral:lncRNA from 1 species
GGCACAUGGUUCCUACCCAUGUCAGGUGGGACGGAUAUGCCUAGUAUUAAUUACAGCAAUGUAGGAAUGCUAAAAUAGGAUGCUGCAGAACCUACAGAAGAAAAACCCCUAAUCUUGGCGUGAGCCACCAUGCCUGGCCCAAGCUGAGUCUUAAAGGACGAAUAAAAGAGACCACACAGGGCUGGGCAAAGAAAUUCUAGGCAGAGGAAAUUGCAAGCACAAAGGAGUGGAGACUACCAGCAGCAUGUGGCUUUGGGGAAACCAUAAAUGGCUGUUUUCUUGAACUCGGGCUGUUUGGGAGGCAUGAAGUAAGACAAGGAUGAAAGAGUAGGCAAAUCGUGAAGGGUGUGUAUGUAUAUUAUGGUGAGUGUUCAAGCAGUCACAGGGAGGUUAUGGGGAUUGGAAAGGAAUGUUUAAAAAUAGCUGGAGGUGAGGUGGAAAUUAAAGGGUGGGAUUUAGUAAGAAAUGUUAAGGGGCUGAAUAAGGCAGUGUGGUAAGCAAGGAGCAAAAACGACAGAUUUGAGAGUUACUUGAGAGGUAGAAUUGAUAGCACUUCACUGGUUAGAUUGACUGGGGGUCAUGAGAGAAACGGUGGUGUCAAGGAUGCUACCCUAGUUUCUGGUGAGGCCUCUUGGUUGUGCUGUGACUCAUGUCUCACAGACCUUAUAAUAGGAGGUUGGAUCACCCUGGCACAAUCUCCAACACAGUUUGAUUAACAAAGUGCUAAAAAGAACUAAACCAUUACAACAAGAAUAGCAGGCUACUGAGUUUCCAGCAAAUGAGAGAAUUAGAACAUCCCUUAUAGAUCCAUAACUCAUCAAUUUCACUAUGCAUGAGCUGAAGAUAGGCAAUUCUCCACUAGAUGAGGAGUCUAUGAAUUUCAAGGGAGACAAUUUAAGCCUAAAACUUAAAACAAAUUUGAUCCAACUUCUUUUUUUUUUUGACAGAGUCUCGCUCUGUCGCCAGGCUGGAAAGCAGAGGCACGAUCUCUGCUCACUGCAACCUCCACCUCCCG